rnacentral:rRNA from 1 species
GACAGAGGGUGCAAACGUUGUUCGGAUUUACUGGGCGUAAAGCGCGUGUAGGCGGCUUGGCAAGUCGGAUGUGAAAGCCCACGGCUCAACCGUGGAAGCGCAUCCGAAACGGCCUCGCUCGAGUCUCGGAGAGGAAGGUGGAAUGCUUGGUGUAGAGGUGAAAUUCGUAGAUAUCAAGCAGAACACCUGCGGCGAAGGCGGCCUUCUGGACGAUGACCGACGCUGAGACGCGAAAGCGUGGGGAGCAAACAGG